AGAGUUUGAUCCUGGCUCAGAUUGAACGCUGGCGGCAUGCCUUACACAUGCAAGUCGAACGGCAGCACGAGAGCUUGCUCUUGGUGGCGAGUGGCGAACGGGUGAGUAAUAUAUCGGAACGUACCCUAGAGUGGGGGAUAACGUAGCGAAAGUUACGCUAAUACCGCAUACGAUCUACGGAUGAAAGUGGGGGAUCGCAAGACCUCAUGCUCAUGGAGCGGCCGAUAUCUGAUUAGCUAGUUGGUGGGGUAAAAGCUCACCAAGGCGACGAUCAGUAGCUGGUCUGAGAGGACGACCAGCCACACUGGAACUGAGACACGGUCCAGACUCCUACGGGAGGCAGCAGUGGGGAAUUUUGGACAAUGGGCGCAAGCCUGAUCCAGCAAUGCCGCGUGAGUGAAGAAGGCCUUCGGGUUGUAAAGCCCUUUUGUCAGGGAAGAAACGGUGGACUCUAAUACAGAUCACUAAUGACGGUACCUGAAGAAUAAGCACCGGCUAACUACGUGCCAGCAGCCGCGGUAAUACGUAGGGUGCAAGCGUUAAUCGGAAUUACUGGGCGUAAAGCGUGCGCAGGCGGUUGUGCAAGACAGAUGUGAAAUCCCCGGGCUCAACCUGGGAAUUGCAUUUGUGACUGCACGGCUAGAGUGUGUCAGAGGGGGGUAGAAUUCCACGUGUAGCAGUGAAAUGCGUAGAGAUGUGGAGGAAUACCGAUGGCGAAGGCAGCCCCCUGGGAUAACACUGACGCUCAUGCACGAAAGCGUGGGGAGCAAACAGGAUUAGAUACCCUGGUAGUCCACGCCCUAAACGAUGUCUACUAGUUGUCGGGUCUUAAUUGACUUGGUAACGCAGCUAACGCGUGAAGUAGACCGCCUGGGGAGUACGGUCGCAAGAUUAAAACUCGAAGGAAUUGACGGGGACCCGCACAAGCGGUGGGUGAUGUGGAUUAAUUCGAUGCAACGCGAAAAACCUUACCUACCCUUGACAUGUCUGGAAUCCUUGAGAGAUCAGGGAGUGCUCGAAAGAGAAUCAGAACACAGGUGCUGCAUGGCUGUCGUCAGCUCGUGUCGUGAGAUGUUGGGUUAAGUCCCGCAACGAGCGCAACCCUUGUCAUUAGUUGCUACGAAAGGGCACUCUAAUGAGACUGCCGGUGACAAACCGGAGGAAGGUGGGGAUGACGUCAAGUCCUCAUGGCCCUUAUGGGUAGGGCUUCACACGUCAUACAAUGGUACAUACAGAGGGCCGCCAACCCGCGAGGGGGAGCUAAUCCCAGAAAGUGUAUCGUAGUCCGGAUUGUAGUCUGCAACUCGACUACAUGAAGUUGGAAUCGCUAGUAAUCGCGGAUAAGCAUGUCGCGGUGAAUACGUUCCCGGGUCUUGUACACACCGCCCGUCGCACCAUGGGAGCGGGUUUCACCAGAAGUGGGUAGCCUAACCGCAAGGAGGGCGCUCACCACGGUGGGAUUCGUGACUGGGGUGAAGUCGUAACAAGGUA
rnacentral:rRNA from 1 species